rnacentral:lncRNA from 1 species
CUACAAGACAUUUAGAGAAGACCUAGUGCCAUUACUCUUUAAACUUCAAUGAAAUUGAAAGGGAUGUGCAAAACAUUUUCAGUCUUCCUUUUCUCAUUUCGGUUCAGUUGCUGAUUUUUUUUUACUUUCUUUUUGCUCUGUCAAGCAACUAUUUAUCCUUCCUCUCUUACCUGUCACUCUGUCUCCACCUCCUCUUUCCAUCCCAGGCCAGCCAACCCUACCACAGAAUUGGAGGCUGGGGAGUCAACUGGAGUAGAUACCUAGAACAAUGAGAGUUAAAAUAAUCUAAGAGUUACUUGGAUGCUCAAUUAUCUCACUGGUCUUAUAAAAAUGGAAAUUAUGGGUUUCUAAAAAUUAAAUUUUAGAACAUUACUGUUGGUAUUGUAUCAUUGUAAUUUAUUUUCUUUUCGUCUUCAUGAGAUUGAACAUCAAGUGACCCUGGAAGAACUACAAAAUUUAAACGCACUAUUUCAGAAACAAAUGGUGAAUGCAUCAGAGAAAUGAACAAAAGAUAUGUUAGAAGUUGACAGAGUUUAGGAGCAUGAAAAGAGAGGAACACGACUGCUGGAUAUGGAAACAUUCAAAAGCAUAAUGAAGCAGAGUAUGAGGUCCCAGAAUAAAAGUACUCGUUGACCCUCAGUACUUCUGUCAACUUGAAGCUGAAUGAAGAGAACGUGCUUGUUUGCAAUUUUCAAAUUUAUGUAAUGGUAACCCAUAGUUGGAGUAGUUUAACUAGGUAUUUCAGUAACUAAGGCAAGUUACAUGAAAGAAAUUCUUAAACCAAGAAUGGAGGGCCACAUCCACCACUUUACUGAAAAGCCAGGAAAGUACUGCAGGCAAUGAUACAUGGUGAUAAUGAAAUCAGUGAACACAUGUAAAGUGUUUAGAACUGGGGUUGUCACACAAUAAAUUCUCAGCAAGUAUUAUUAUGAUUCCUGUUAAUAUUAUCCAAUUUUGGUUAUGUAAUAACAAAGAGCUGAGAUACCUGUUUUUUUGAUUCUUGGCCAUCAUGUCUGUCAGUGUCCUUCCAUUGUUCUGGGAUGAAUUAAGUUCAAAAGUGACAAAUUGAGCAGUAAGUCAUCUGUAUUCAGGCCUUUGGCCAAUUCUACAGUGCCCUCACUGUCAUAUGAUUUGAAAAGGAAUAUUCAAGAUUCCAGGGCAGAGAAGGGAAGCUUCUAGUGAAAGAGGAUUUUGGAAGAGGUGGACAGAAAAUGAAGAUUUCCCAGGUCCAAAGAGACUCCACCCUUUCUAUUUUUGAUCACAAAGUUCCUUCCCAUUAGUAUACUGCUAAGAUUCAAAAAAAGGCAUAUGCCCUGCUGUGUGGGAACUUCAGAAUCAGAUCAAUGACAACACAAGUCUCUGGCUGGCCAUUGGCUAGUUGUUCCAUCUUAGGCAAGCCAUUUAACUUCUCUUCAAGCUUGAGUUUCCCAGUUCAUAAAAUGGGGUGAGCGAUGGACCUUAACCCCUUUAGGAAUGAUGAGAAUUGAAGUGAAGACCCACACUACAUGGAACAUGGUACACUCUAACAGUCAUUAUCAUCACCGCCAUUGUCAUCAUCAUCAUCAUCAUCAUCAUCAUCAUCAUCAUCAUCAACAACAACAACAACAACACCAUUAAAGAAAAAGGGAAAGCAGAAGAAGUAAGCUGGCAGCUGGGAAACAGACUUCAGGCCCAGCUGAGCAUGCUUACCACAGUUAUUACACGGUGGCUUCUGGACGUAUCUACAGCUAGAGUAUUUGAAGCAGGCCAAGGCUUUGGCCUGACAGAAAGAGGUGUCCUUCCUGCUGCCUGCUGUAGUGCCACAGAGGCUGUCACAUGGGGGUCUUGUGCUGCGCAUUCUCUCUGUGCCUGAUGACACCUUAAUCAUGAUCAGAGAAGAUGGAGCUAUUUAUUUCUGGUCCCUGCAGCUGAAGCUGAAAAGAAAAAAGUGGAUUUUUGUAUGUGAUUUUCAUUUGAUAAGGAUGCUGAGUGCUACAGUUUGAUUUUAUUUGCUAUUUUAAACUGCUCCUUAAGUGGCAUGAUUACAUAAAUUGUGCCCUUGAAUAUAAUAUAUUCAUGUUGCAUUUUGUUAGGCUACGGAAUGCAAAUAAAAUAGAGCACUACAUGUA